AUGCGCUGCCUUCAUGAUUCCAGGACCUGGAAUCAUACCAGCCGAUGGUCGAAGAAGGAUUGGCCGGUGCUGCCGGCUGGCAUCAAGUUCAAUCUCGCGGAUCAGGAGCUGAUCGAGCACCUUGAGGCCAAAGUGAGUGCUGACAGCGCGAGAUCUCACCCUCUCAUCGAUUUGUUCAUACCAACCAUCGACAGCGAGCACGACAUAUGCUACACCCAUCUUGAGAAACUUCCAGACGCUGACCUGGUAUCACUGAGUGGCCUAAGCAAGCAUUUCUUCCAGCGCAAUUCCAGGGCGUUCAAAAGGGGCACGUGGACGCGUCGCAAGAUAAAUUCUGAGUGCAGCAUGCACGCGAUGUGGCACAACACCGGCAAUACCUUGCCGGUGAUGGUCGACGGCCAGCAGACGGGUAGCAAAAACGUUCUGGUGCUGCACACCAACAAGAACUUCGACCAGCAGAGGAUCAACUGGGUGAUGCACCAGUACCACCUCGGGGACCUAGAGCAAGAGAAGGAGCGGGAGAUGGUCCUCUACAAGACUUUCUACCAGACGAAUACAAGGGCCAGUAGUCGAGCAAGUUUCAACUGGGCUGUAGACUGCCCAGGCUUGGUUUUGUUUUUAACAGGCACAGACCAUGAUGACAAUGGGGCACAAAGAUCUAGCAGGUAG
rnacentral:rRNA from 1 species